CUUCACUCAGAGGGUGGUUUGUGUGGAUCUUCACUUAGAGGGUGGUGUGCAUGGAACGAGCUGCCAAUGGAAGUGGUAGAUGCAAAUUCAAUUGUAACAUUUAGGAAAAGUUUGGAUAGGUGGAUGAGAUGAGAGAGGUCUGGAGGGCUGUGGUCUGGGUGCAGGGAGAUGGGAACGAGGCAGAGGAGCAGGCUGGCAUGGACUAGAUGGGCCGAAUUUCCUGUUUCUAUGCUGUAGUUCUCCAUGACUCUAUGACCAACACCCUCCCAUAAAAUAAAUGUCAAUGUUCCAUUGGCCCUCCUAACUACUGCUGCCCCUUCCUGCAGUCUGAGAUAAACACCCCACAGUGGACCAGUGUGACUACACACUUGCAUCUGUGUAGAAACAUCUUUGCAUCUUUCAUUAAAUUCUCUCUAAAUUCCUUCUCCAUUACCGACCCUGUACACAGUCCACUCCCCGUUACUGACCCAUUGCCGACCUGACCGGGGGUUUAUCCUGUGUCCACUCCCCCUCUAAUGUCUGCUGUCCAUUACAGACGAUCUACACCUUCCACUCCACAAUACUGACCCAUUAUAAACCUGGCGACAGUAAUCCUGUGACUAUUUCCUCUCCAGCACGUGAGUCCAUUCCUGUCCCUCUGCUCAAUACUGACCCAUCACUGUGGUUGUUAGAGGAAGCUCACUGACUGGGAACAAUAGGCUCUUCAUUGCAGAGGCUCAGGAUACAUGAUGUUUGUUUGUUUGCUUUGCAUACUUUUUCAAAACAUACAUCAACUGUUCCACCGCCCCGUGCUGGCUUCAUUGCUUCGAGAAGCCGGUGCGGAAGGUAGUCGUUGACCUGUCGCUGCGUCUGACACCACUCACAGCAGAGAGUGAGGAGGUUGUAGGUGGUCCCAUCUCCCUCCAGUUCACACAGCAACACCUCAUCGGGAGUCACACAAUGUCACUGGCUGAACUGAGGGUUGUGCUGCUGAUCCUGGGUUUUCUGGUCACAGACUCCGCACUCGGUGAUCCGUGUGUAACCCACACCGUCCUGGAUCAGCCCUGGAGGAGCACGGAUUGUUCCAACACUGAGUGUACCAGUGGACAAUUGAUGAGUGAUGGAAAUCUUGCAGUGGGA